GGAACGCGGCGAAUGCUGCACGCAUCCUGCCGCGAGCGGCAUUGCGACUUGUUUAAUAGAACGCAACGGACGCGGGAUGGACGGGCCCCGGAACGGAGACGUUAUCGCGGCUCGUUUAAUAGAACGCGGCGUAUGCAAAAAGGAUUAACUCCGAAACGAAUGGCGUUGCGAUUCAUCUAAUUAAUUGUAUAGUAUCGUAUGUACUACAAUUCUAUUAUUGCACAUUGUGGGAUCUGACAACUCGAAAAUAAAUUAGACUUAAAGGAGGUAUCGGGUUUCGAUGGGCAAACUUUGCGAUUCAUCAUAGUGACGUGUCUGUUAACUCCACAGUUCCGUAUUAAUUGCAAACUUAUCCAUGUAUAAAGUUGACAUACUCUCGUCGCCGAUUUUAAUUGAAAAUAAACGAAUCGUAGCCGGUUCGUCGCGUCGCGCGUUUUAUAUCGGUAGUGCCGUUCAAGUUAUCGGAUUAAAACUCUUUAAAUAAUUAGUCCGCGCGCGAUUGUAGUAUAUUAUCGCGAGUGUUUUUCGCGAGUGUACAACAGUAAAAAGAGGAGGAGGAGGAGGAGAUCUAACAAUCUGAGAGGAGGAGGAGGCCUGAGAGGCAUCAGGCUCCAGAGGAGCAACUCUUGGGUAUCAUCGCAGCUUCGUGGCAGAAUUACUCCUCUCGUUGCGCAUCGGGUCGAUUAAAUCGCAGGAUCUGAGAGAAGGUGACCGAGUAACUCUGCUCAUAGCGCAUCGGAUCGAUGUGCCGUGAGCAAAGGACCGUUUAAAAAUCGACAAAGGCCAAGACAAUAGUAGGCGUUUAAUUAAGCUAAAAUGGAAGAUCAACUAGUAUGAGCGAACCGGAGCAGAGGAGAGCAAUAUCUUCUCCGACUCGGCUUACGGAGCACGUAGUGUCGCAGUCAAGGCUGACCUACAUGGCUGCACCACUGUCUGAUCCCAUGCAAACCUGCUCCACUAGUGCUGGCUUAACGCUGACUGUCAGAGCUCGCGCAUUAUACGGCUGGCAUUUUAUGUCGGUUCUCAAAAAUCUUUUCAACGAAUAUUCGGGCAGACUAAACCAUCAAAAAAAUUCAAUUCAAAAUUCAAAGAUUCUUAUUUUGUAUCGUUGAGAGAAGUAAUACGUAUUGAUUUACAUUCUUUGUGUUGCUUCAAAGAAUACUACGAGAUCGAUUAUAUUUGGUAAUCGGGUAACAAAAAUAGAAAUUUAUAUAACUCUAAUUAAUAACGACUAAUAUAAAUUAAUCGCAAUUAAUAUAAUAAUAUAUAAAUUAACGUAAAAUAUCAAAAUCAACGUUUAAAAUUAAAUUGAAUAGAAUGUAAGCCUUGCACACAAUUACAUCCACAUGAUAAUUGUAUACAGUAUAUAAAAAAAUCUAUCGAUUAACGAAUAGAUGAUGCAUUUGUUAUCGCGUCAAAUUUAUCGAUGAUUGCAGCCGUCAACGAUGCUCCGAAAAUAAAAUUUCUCUUUAAAAAGAUUAAAAUACUCGAUAUCCUCCUAUUUACACAAUAUUGCAGCUACGCGCGGCUAUUGAAAAGAUAUAUUUAAAUGAGAAAGUGGAAAGAAUAAAAUUGUUGCGACUCGUUGUCACGUUUUUACGAUAACUCCGAUGGGAAUCUCGGUGAUUGGCCAAUCUCCGAAGACAGUCGACAGCGCGUGACUGUCGCUUAUCGGAUGAAAAUCGUGCGAACAAAGAAAUCGACAUUAUAUGACGUUCGAGCUCAGCGAACGUUCCAUCGGGGGUCUCCAAGGAAUUUAAUGCGAAUGAUCCCCGGUAUCGCCGCCAGUUGGAAGGCGUCGUGUCGAGAAAUAAGGUGCCGCUGAUCGAUAUCUUAUUUUUUUUCCGCCAUCAUAAAUCGGACGUGAACUGCUCCCCGGAGAGCAACUCGAUGAUCGAGAAAGUUUUGCAGAUUGCUCUGACGUAUUUGUCCCAGUUGCUUUACGUUAAAGUUACUCCUAUCUCUCCCGUGCAUCCUCAUACGAGAGGGAAGGAUUUAGAAAAGUCACACGUAAAUUUCCUUCACUGAACUUUCAUUCGCAGUAAAUUUCAUUUAAGCAAUUGUUAUUUCAACACUUCGAGACUAUGAAUUUCAUAAUAUUGCGUUGAGGGAUACUAUUGAAGAAAAAGUGGAUAAAUGUAUAUUUAGAAACGUUUCAGAGAGAAAGAUAAAUGGCAAAUAAAAAUUUUAUGAAAAAUUUAACGAAGAACACGCAAGUACGGCUAAAAAUUUCUUCUCGCAGAGUUCGUUCUAGCGCUAUGCACGAUGAAAAUGUAUAACGGGCAAACGCGUUCCACGUAUGCAAAGUUCGCGCGCACAUCGAUUAUCGCGGCCACCGUGUCGCGGUGUGGCGAUGCGAAAGUGCCUCCUGCCUCGCGACAAUAACGUAAAUCGUCGAAACUGUCGUAAUCCCCGCGCACGAGCGAACUUUAACAAUUAUAUUUAAUACGAUAUAGGUCCAGCAGAGACACGGUGAGCGGUACCGCGCGAACCGCGUUGCCCGAAUGGCGAGAGAGCGAGCGAGAGUCAGCGGUGUGGCGCGCGGCGUCAUAAGCCAUAGAUACCCGGCGGUACCUAUGCCAGUUCGAAACUCAUACCGGCCGCGCCGGCGUUUCUCGCGGUGCGACCACCAACCCCAGGUGAAAUCUACUCUUCUGCCUUCCCUCCCUCAUGACCAGCUCGUUCCCGUUCCCGUUCCAUUCUCGUCCACCCUCUCCGUGCCAACCCUCACCUUCCCCUAUCCACGGUUCUUGUACCGCUAUGCGGCAAAGUCUAAUCAAAUUUAAUAACUUUUGUGCUGCCCGCGCUUUGCCCAUCCUAUGAAGCCGAUCUUCCUCUUCCUCCUCCUUCUCCCUCUCUCGCUCUCUUCCCGAUCUUUACUCCUCUCUUCUGCCUCUCAUUCUUGUUACUCUAUUUCUCAUUGUCCGGCUGUCUAUCUUCGUUCUAUCGCCGUGUCUCCGCUAUCUACUUCCCUACUGCGGUCUCUUCGUCACGUUAUAAACUUGCACCUCUCGCAGCGGAACCACUGAGUACCGCAGAUUUAUGACGGCGACAUGCCAGACCUGCUGAAACGACCCCGAUCUACUCGCGACUCCAUUUUCAACGACACGCUCGCUCGUCUAUUCGCAUUUUCCCUCUUUUUAUUUUGGCCGUCUGCCGUUUCGUAAAUUUUGUCGAUAACGUUGACCAUAUCUUCUCCGCGCAGAACAUUUCCAAAAUUACUCGCGUCGAUCUGCUCGUUUUAGUCCAAAUAAUAACUUAUUUGGAUCGUCGCCGAUUUCUGUAAUUAUUCCACUUUUCGAUUGGUAUCUACUAUAUUUCAAGCAUGUUAUUCCAAGUUUGAUGCAACAUUCCUUGUUAUUAUUGAGACCAAGAUUAUAAAAAAUGCAAUCAAAUUGUAACGCGUGGAUGGCCCGCAAUAAUAUUUUGAAAUUUGUUAGUAACACUUGUCACCAUAGCUCAAUUCCUGUACAAAAAGAAAAUCAGAUGUAUCGGAAAAUUUUUUUACGGUUCCGAUAGAAAAUACAAAUUUUAGCUAUUAAUAAUAUUUGAUAUCACGAUUUUGCCUGCUUGUUCUUAAGUUAAGAUGGAUUCGUCUCAAGACUGUGUCGCACCUGGUCGCACCAUAACGCAUCGAAAUAAAUAAUGACGGUCUUCUCAACCAUGAUGUAAGAAUUCAACAAUCGUGUUUGACGAUUACAAUCAACUUUCCCGCAUAUUCAUAAAAUAUCGGAAUUUUUUUUGUUUUCAACAUAAAAGAAUAACUGAUAAAAAACGAAAUUAUUCUGAAUAGACCUUGUUAUCACACAAAAGGCAAGUAAUCUAACCACGGAAUAAUGCAAUGACCCUUGUUAUAAAAAAAAAUAUACAAUAGCGGGUAUGAUACUCAAGCUCGUCAAAAAAAGAUGUGUCGGAAAAAUUGCAGCAGUUUUUCUUAACAUAAUCGUAUCAAUUAUUACGGCUUUGUUGUGAUAAAAAAAAGUCUAAAUGGAAAAAGCAUAAAUAAAUCCCAUAUCAUCCGUUGGCCUCAAUCUCGAUAUCGUACACCUCUCUCGGAAUCGAAAGCCCAGCGGAGAACGGCGACAUUUAACUCGAAAGCAGAAUAGCCGUAUCCGGAUUUCAAACGCGACCGCAUGCCUAUUUUGUAACAGAUCAGCGGCCAAAGUCCCUCGCCUCCUCCCUUCCUCUCCUUCCACCCUUUCUCUUCUGGCCAUUCUCAAUCCGAUCCGUGUGUUCUGCCGCUGUUUUCAUCCACCCCACGAACUCACCCUCGGUGCUGUGCGACUCUGUCGCGCGGAUUUACCAAUAAUGUUGCACCGCUACACCGACAUACACCAACACGUAUGCGAAGAUAUGGGUAGCUAAAUCGACCUAUCGCCCAGUAACUACAGAUUAGUGUUAUCAGAGCGUUACAACGCGAAAGCGUGGUUUACCUUGACACUGGGCGAAACGCAAGAUCGAUGGCAGCCAAGGGUUACAAAAGUCAUCGCUGUGCGAUCGAUUUACCAUUCAGCGGCCACACUAGCUCUUUCACGGCAAGCGAUACUCGUAUUUUUUAACAACGUGUGUUACCAUAUUGAUUAACCCUUCUACUAUUCAACAGAAAAACGAAAUUGCUUUUAGAAAAAUUAGCAAUGCGUUUACCGUUCAUCUAUCAAGAACAUGUCGAUAUAAAGAAGAGUAAGUGCAAGAUUAUCAUGUAUGUAUAUAUCGCAAUAUCUAUGCAGAAUAUUUUUUGAUACACCCCCCACGUCAUCAAUCACCCGACGUUGUUGUCUUCGGCAUUAUUCAUGCUUCUAAAUCACGCUAACGCGUUUACUUCUAUCGUAGAUAAAAUCAGUGGAAUAGCAGAGCGGUUCUGGUACUGACAACGAUGCUGCUCUUCUGAUGUGAAUGCGAGAACUCUGUAAUGUGUCGUAAAAAGAUAAAAUCUAUACAAAAGACCUCUACGCAAAAAACCAAGAGUUUGUAAAAAAAGAAUAGCUCAUUAAGGAAGUCUGAACAUUUUCAUAAUGAGGAGCAGAAUAUGAGAAGGUAGUGUUAUAAAUACUCAUUAAGGAAAGAGAAAAAGAAAGAAGGCAAAGUCUAAUCUAAAAAGAAAAAUUUUACUACGUUAGUAUAAUUCCAAUGAACUAACUGUAUAUGAAAGCAAAAACUAAUAAUUGAACUUAUUAAAUUCUAUUCCUUGUAUUGCAAAAUCAAAAGCAUCUGAUCUUUUACUUCAUAUCGUUUACUUUAUUCAUCUCAUCUUCGUUUUCUUGUCUCCCAUUUUCUUGUCUUUUUAUAUAACGUAUAUAUUUUUCUAUAAAUGAAUUGUAGUAGUAUUUUUUUUUUUCACAAAUACCCGAUCAUGUAAAUUCCGAUAACUCAACAUAUAUGUAUAUCUAUCCAAUAUGUUACCGAAAUUGUAGCGUGCAUGGAUGACAGAAUUAUAAUUGAGUUAGCAUGCAACCUGUAAACACAUUAUUAGCCGAUUGCUUCGCUGUGAGAAAUCCAUACAAUCGCAUUUGAUAUCGUAUUUUCGUUAUGACAACCGUCAGGCUUCUCGCGAGGAUAAUAAUAAACAGAGCAAAAUAAUAGGGAUAAGGGUGGUUAAACACCCACCAAAGUGUAAUAAGUUUCGGCGAAUUGGGGACUAUCCGUUGUAAACACGGCGCGGACUACUGUGUGUAGAUUUUACGCCCCUCCGAGUAAGCAUAGCUUGUUGCGGAACACCGCAGUUUAAUUACUGUGCCACGAACUACAAACGUACAUUUAGAUACAAGAAUUAUUUUCUUGCCCGAUAUAACGCGGAUAUUAUCAGCGCGCAUCGCGUUAGUUCUGAAAUAUCCAUCAUCUAUUAGCAACAAAGAAUAAUUUAAAUGACGCAUAUAACUAACAAAUUAAAUCGUAAGAUUCAUAAUUAUUUCGCCAAUAAAUAGCUAUUUAUCAUCAGCGAAGUUACAGAAAUCGGAAAUAAAAUGGCUAUUGACCGAAUAUAAACUAUUUAUCAUUAUUAAUAUACGAUUCAUCAUCAUUAAAACUGACCGUACACCAGUAAGAUUUAUCGACAUUACGUCAAUAUUUCAAGAGUAACGUUUGAAAUAUACUAAAUAUCGUGGCUGCCUAUCGCAGAAAUCUCACAGCAUAUCUGUAAUAGAUCGAAAUAUAGAUCAGCAGUCACGAAUGCAGAUUGGGUAUUUCCAAGGACUUUGAGCUUAUACGAGCAAAUUGACAGUAAAUCUGUCCCCGAUGGGCAUUGAUGGCGUCCCGACUGAGCGGUGCAAAUUCAUUAGUCGAUUCGAUUUUGACACGGAGAAAUGAUACGAGUGGACGCCAACGUGAGAGUUAUCUUGAGAGUAAAUAGAUUGGAAAUCCAUGUCGUGUAAAUUGGAAACAUAACGGUUUCCGCGCCUUUGAAUGAACAUUCACCGAAUGCGCUGCAUUUUCUACAUUAAUGAGUAAGAUAAAAGCAAUCUAAUGUAUUCGUAAAAUGUAAAAAUUAUCCGUAGAAUUUAUUUACAUAUUUGCGAGAGUCAGAUAAUUAAAAAUUCAAGACAAAAAGAAAAAGAAUUAUUAUUAUUUAUCUCAUUUACCUAUCCUAUCUGAACAAGUGCAUCAUCGAUACUCGAAUUCUCAAAGUUUAUUGUUGCAUUUGGUUUUGUGCUGAUUGGUUCUCAUUCAGCGCUUACUUCGUGAACGGCUGUCAUCGCGGAAAUCACGAAUUUUGACUAUGUGUAUUGAGGGACUCGAACAGUGUAAUAUUAAAAUUGUAAUUUGCAUAAACUUAUGUAUGUAAUAUAAAAAAAUUCAGUAGCGCGCGUUUGUUUUGUCUAGUAAAGUCAAAAGAUAAAUAAAGUCGAAAGAUCUUUAUUUUAGUCGGAAAAUAUUAUUUAUUACGAAAAGAAUUUUGUAAAAAAAUGUCACGAAUUUGAUAGUGUACUAAAAAUAACGAUAACUAGAAAUGCUAUGGCUAGGAGCAAAAAUAUUUCUAUCUCUAUAUGAAAAUAUAGACCGAAUAUCGGAAAUCACAAACGAAAGGUUAAACCAAUUAUAAUCGGAUUUAAUAGUAAAGCUAUAUCCUCGGAUAGCUUUUCCAUACAGCUAUUUUAUUAUUAAACUAACGAUUGUUCGUACAUCGAAUGGCAUUGAAUUGCUCAAAUAACAUUCCUUCGCUACGCAUAUAAACGAACAGAUAUCUGAGUUUUUGUAAAAGAGUAAGACAAAUAUAUAGAAUUUUUAAAACUAUCCACGAUAUUAGAAAUUUCAUUAGAUUAAACCAAAAAGCAAUAUGUCAUUCCAUGAUUAAAACGUCUAGAAAAUGCCUGCGCGUUGAUUAAAACGCUCACUUUGUUCGUGAACAGCGUAAACAUUUUGAAAAUUUCUAACGCCCUUUAAUUAUGUAUAUAUUUACCUACUAUUACGCUAAAGUAAGCGCACAUAAGUUUUUACAUGGCGUAACGUUGCGAGUAAUAUGCGUUACGUCGCGAAAAAUGCGACUGUGAGCGACAUAUCCGAUGAAGUAGAGGGCAGGUGCCUUUUUGCCGUGUUGUUCUAAACAAGUGCCAGGAAAACUGGCAUGAACCGCACGACUUAACAGGAAAAAAGGGUGGUCUCGCUUGGUAUACUUUUCACGACUGCACCGCGACGAAAAGCGGCUGGUUCUCGCAGCAACCGUUUAAACGGUCGUAUUCGAUGCGUCGCAUAUAAGCGCGAAUAAUAUUUUACAUAUAAAAAAGAAAAGUAAAAAAAGGAAACAAGACGUAGAUACCGUCGACGAUAUUGACGUUAUAUCCACGCGCGCAACUUUCAGCGUCGCCUGAUGUUCCCCGUUGGGAACGACGCGGGAGUAUCUACUUAUUCUGGAUUCUACCGACUAUAUCUGCCGUAUCUCGUGUUACUUUCUCCCCGAUAAACAUUUCCUUUAACCCAGGAAUUUCUCCCGAUGUUACUGCGAAUGUAUUUUCUAUCGUUAUCAGGGGAGUAAAUUCUUUUUACGAAAGUAAACUUUUUCGAUGAUUUUCCAAAGGUCCGCAAUUAGUCUACAAUCGCGAUAUUGUGACAUGUAUAUUGUAAUACUGCGACCCCUCAAAACAACGUCCGUUUCUCUUCCAUUUAGCGACUACUGAUAUUUUUUUCUUAACAAUACUUCCAUCGACAGCUUUCGAGUUAUAGGCAAUAAAAUAGUAAACUAAGUUCUAACCAAGACAAAAGAGAGACGAACAAAUAGCGUAAAGCCGGAAAUUGAAAAACUUUCUACUAAAAUUAAAUUGUUUUUCAUAGCAGUCGCUUUCAAGAAACCACGGGAUUUAAAAAUAAAAAAAAUAAUUCACAGAAGCUUUAAACAAAGAUUACACAUUUUCGAGAAGUUGAGCAAAAGGUGAACUAGAAUUUAAAGUAAUCCGAGCGCGUUUAUUUAAAAAUGUAUCCCUAGAUCAACUAGAAUUAUACAUGAAAUUGCUGUAAGUUCUCACCAACGAUUAAAUAAUUAAUUCGAUUUUGUAUACGACCGCACGAUUUCCCUUGGAUAGAAACCAGAAACUUUAAGGCGUUGGUCCAAUGCCAAAUUAGCUUAUUAAACUGUAUGUUCCAGACGUGGCAGAACUUAGAUCUUAGAAAACCCUAGAAGAUAGAUUUGAUUAAUUUAAGAUAAUUGAUGCAUGCAAAUGUUUAAGUUAGAAGACGAAGCUUGUAUUAUAAUAAUAUUGUAUUAAAAAUGAUUUUCCCCUUUUUCACUAAUAAAAAUAUUUAAAAAAAUUAUUUACGAGCGACAUGAAAAAAAGCGUAUUCAUAUCUGCUCGAUACAAAACUCCAAAUUGAACUAAUUGUGUUAUUAUAUGUGAUUCGCGUGUCGAACAACUUUGAAUAAUAAAAUAUAAAGCUAAUCUUCAAAAACACUGAAAUAACAACAAAAAUUUACAAUCAAUUUCACAUUUCAAAGAUUAUUUAAAUACAAAGGAUUGAAAAAAUGGUAGUGAGAUCAAACAGUCCAGUACGCUUCUCGUAGUAACAAGGAUGUACAAUUGUGCUGCGCUCAAAAAUCUCAAACAUGUUCGCGGAAACGAGAAAGAUGAAGCAUUCAUACGGAUUGAUAUUCCAUUGUAUCAGUCGAAUUGAGCUCCAUCAAUUUGCGGCAAAUACAGUUGUUACGUGUAUCUCGCAUUUAGCGUAUUACAACUAAAUUCUACCGGAUCCUGUUCUAUCACGAGCCGUUAACAAAUACUGACAAGCGAGAACGAAGCGGGCUCGGCACCCCGAUAUGUCGAAUAGGUUUUCGAUUUCCGCGCGAUUGCUCGACGUACCUGUGUCGGUGGCUUGAUCCGCCACUGGCGUUCGCCAGUGCCCCAA